AUUGAACGCUGGCGGCAGGCCUAACACAUGCAAGUCGAGAGGGGUUUUCGGACCUAGCGGCGGACGGGUGAGUAAUGCGUAGGAAGCUACCCGAUAGAGGGGGAUACCAGUUGGAAACGACUGUUAAUACCGCAUAAUGUCUACGGACCAAAGUGUGGGACCUUCGGGCCACAUGCUAUCGGAUGCGCCUACGUGGGAUUAGCUAGUUGGUGAGGUAAUGGCUCACCAAGGCGACGAUUUCUAGCUGGUUUGAGAGGAUGAUCAGCCACACUGGAACUGAGACACGGUCCAGACUCCUACGGGAGGCAGCAGUGGGGAAUAUUGGACAAUGGGCGCAAGCCUGAUCCAGCCAUGCCGCGUGUGUGAAGAAGGCCUUCGGGUUGUAAAGCACUUUCAGCGAGGAGGAAGGGUUGUGUGUUAAUAGUACACAGCCUUGACGUUACUCGCAGAAGAAGCACCGGCUAACUCUGUGCAGCAGCCGCCGCUGUAAAAC
rnacentral:rRNA from 1 species